rnacentral:lncRNA from 1 species
UCUUGCGCCAUCGUUAAAUGUCUUCCGCCAUCGUUCAAAACUUUAUCGUUUUUUGUAGCCCGACGCCAUUUUUUUUAUCAAUUAUAAUCAAAUGCAUGUAAUUGCAUAACCCUUAGGCUUUUUAUGUUAUAAUCCAAUACAGUUCUAACGCCUGAGGAACAUACGGAUUAAGAUCGCUAAUCACUUGUACCUGAGCUUGUACAGGUAGAUCAACAAACAGACACGAGAAUACUAUCUGAGGAUAGACGAUUUAUUUGUCGAAAUAAUCAACUAAGUUUUAGCAAAUGAUUAUGAUAAUUUAGAUUAAAUAAAUAAAUUAAUAAUCCAGUUACAAAGAAAACAGUUUAACAAGUCGAACACGUGCUUUGUUUCGACUUACGCAAUCAGCAUCCCCCUUUUUUAAGAAGUACAAAAUAAGACGC